rnacentral:rRNA from 1 species
GGAAUAUUGCACAAUGGGCGCAAGCCUGAUGCAGCCAUGCCGCGUGUGUGAAGAAGGCCUUCGGGUUGUAAAGCACUUUCAGCGGGGAGGAAGGCGAUAAGGUUAAUAACCUUGUCGAUUGACGUUACCCGCAGAAGAAGCACCGGCUAACUCCGUGCCAGCAGCCGCGGUAAUACGGAGGGUGCAAGCGUUAAUCGGAAUUACUGGGCG